UGGGCGAAGCCUGAUGGAGCGCGCCGCGUGAGUGAGAAGGAUUUCGGUUCGUAAAACUCUGUUGUAAGGGAAGAACAAGUACAGUAGUAACUGGCUGUACCUUGACGGUACCUUAUUAGAAAGCCACGGCUAACGACGUGCCAGCAGCCGCGGUAAUACGA
rnacentral:rRNA from 1 species